rnacentral:rRNA from 1 species
GUGGAUUAGAUACCCUAGUAGUCCAUGCCGUAAACGUUGGGCACUAGGUGUGGGGGACAUUCCACGUUUUCCGCGCCGUAGCUAACGCAUUAAGUGCCCCGCCUGGGGAGUACGGCCGCAAGGCUAAAACUCAAAGGAAUUGACGGGGGCCCGCACAAGCGGCGGAGCAUGCGGAUUAAUUCGAUGCAACGCGAAGAACCUUACCAAGGCUUGACAUGGACUGGAUCGCAUCAGAGAUGGUGUUUCCCUUCGGGGCUGGUUCACAGGUGGUGCACGGUCUCGUCAGCU